GGAGCAAAGAAGACUUCACACACCCACAGACAAAGUCACAGGCCACUUCCAGAGCCAGAAAGAGAGGGAAAUGAAGACAAACUUGGCCUCCUUUUGGAACCCUUCAGUAUUCUUCAUUUCUCAAACUCCACCUGCCACUUUCAAAGCAGGAGAAUCUUCUCUCCCCCCUUCUUAUUCUGAAAACUCCAGUGGACCCUGAGCUCUUCCAUAUAUCUUUGUGAAUUCAUCAGGGAAUAUCCAUACUGGAUCAGACCCAAGGUCCAUCUAGUCCAGGACUCUGUCUCUGACCGUGCCCAAUACCAGCUGCUUCUGAGGGAGAAAAGUGGAAGGAACUGCUGAGAGAAAUUCUAUGUCCUUCACUGUACAGGAGGUCAAAGUAGAUGAAUGCAACGAUCCCUUCUGGCUUUAAAAUGGAUGACUCUUUAGAAUUACUUUAGAAAAGGGCUAGCGUACUCUGCCACCUCAUCAACGGGAACAAUCUAUUUCCUGUAUCCUUAUGCCAAACCUGAACACUGUAACAUGACAUGGGUGUUUCAUUGACAUAAUAAUUGAAGCAGCAUUUUUUCCAAAUUAAGAAAGAUGACUUUGUAAUAACUGAUUUUACUAUAAGUAAAUAAAGGGUAACUAUAAAACCCACAGCUCAAGGCAUUGCAUGAUCCAUUCUAGAGCCUGAUAUACAGAAGUUUGAGUCUGCUAUAGCUUCCCCACAAGAAGAGUAAGUCUUUCAGCUCUCCCAGCAGAUACUUAUGCUUUUAAUGCAGAAGGUCCAAGGUUCAAGCCCGCUGUCAGCAGAACCCUGAUUGUCUACAGUUGGACUUGUCAGUAUUCAGAAGUCAUUCCCAGUCCCCCCUGGAUAG